UUUCGCAAAGAUAUGAGCAAUAGGUGAGAAGGACAGACGAUUCUCUUUUCCUGAUUGGGGCUGCCAGGGCCACAGCAAGGACAGGGCAGGAGACCAAUCUGGCAGAAGUUGCAUGGUGAUCAGAGGACAAGACAACAGGAAAGAGAUGAGCAAUACAUGAGCAAGAGAGAAGAUUGUGUUUUGCUGAGUCAGGCCACUAGGAAAACAGCAAAGG